rnacentral:rRNA from 1 species
UUUAUGGAGAGUUUGAUCCUGGCUCAGGAUGAACGCUGGCGGCGUGCCUAAUACAUGCAAGUCGAGCGAACAGACGAGGAGCUUGCUCCUCUGACGUUAGCGGCGGACGGGUGAGUAACACGUGGAUAACCUACCUAUAAGACUGGGAUAACUUCGGGAAACCGGAGCUAAUACCGGAUAAUAUAUUGAACCGCAUGGUUCAAUAGUGAAAGACGGUUUUGCUGUCACUUAUAGAUGGAUCCGCGCCGCAUUAGCUAGUUGGUAAGGUAACGGCUUACCAAGG